UGUGACGCGUUCUGUGGUCCCCCUUUUCCCUUCCUGGCACUAAAGGCGUCAGAGCGCAGGGUCGCGGGAUUAGUUCCGCCGUAAUGUGACAGUGCGCAGGCGCCGCAAGGAGGCUACACGAAUUUGGCGGAAGAGGCGUCCCUGAGGUGUGGGAGCAGGGACGGGGCGAUCAACGGCAAGAACCCGUGCCUGCACCACCGCGAACGGCUAGGGUAGCGAUGACUUGCAGCUACAAAGUGGACGCUGCACCUGGUUUAAACGUCCUGUGGCUGAGCCCCCAAUCACCCCCCAUAACCCCAUAUCCCUUGGGGUGUGUGGGAGAGCGAGGAAAACCAAGGGGCAAUGACAAUGAACUUGAAGAUGGAGGAGCAUAAAACCCUCAAGACUCUGCCUUUUAGCUCCCGGUCUAGUGGGAAAGACUGGCAUAAAUACUAACAAAAAUGUAAGUCACUGGACUAUUAACAUAAAUGUAAGACUUGCCUAUGAAA